GGAUUAGAUACCCUGGUAGUCCACGCCGUAAACGAUGAGAACUAGGUGUUGGGAGGAUUACCUCUUGGUGCCGCAGCUAACGCAUUAAGUUCUCCGCCUGGGGAGUACGGCCGCAAGGCUAAAACUCAAAGGAAUUGACGGGGGCCCGCACAAGCGGUGGAGCAUGUGGUUUAAUUCGAUGCAACGCGAAAAACCUUACCUACCCUUGAAAUCUUCGGAAUCUCUUAGUGAUAAGAGAGUGCCUUCGGGAACCGAAUGACAGGUGUUGCAUGGCUGUCGUCAGCUCGUGCCG
rnacentral:rRNA from 1 species